rnacentral:rRNA from 1 species
GACGAACGCUGGCGGCGUGCCUAACACAUGCAAGUCAAGGAGAAUUCCCGACUUGUCGGGAUAGUAAACUGGCGAACGGGUGAGUAACACGUAGGUAAUCUACCCUCGGGAUCGGGGAUAACCUCGCGAAAGUGGGGAUAAUACCGAAUAAAGUCUCGGUAUAAUUUGUCGAGAUGAAAGAUGGGGAUCUUCGGACCUAUUACCUGAGGAUGAGCCUGCGCCUGAUUAGCUAGUUGGUAGGGUAAAUGCCUACCAAGGCAACGAUCAGUAGCUGGUCUGAGAGGAUGAUCAGCCACAUUGGGACUGAGAUACGGCCCAGACUCCUACGGGAGGCAGCAGUGAGGAAUUUUGCGCAAUGGGCGAAAGCCUGACGCAGCAACGCCGCGUGACUGAUUAAGCUCUGAGGAGUGUAAAAGUCUAGUCGUAGAGGAAGAAACUAUCCGAUAAGAAUAUUGUCGGAUACUGACGGUACUCUAUGAGAAAGCUCCGGCUAACUCCG